GUCUUUUUAUACUUGGGAGUUUCCCCGUUCUGUGGGCAACAAAGAUCAGUCUGGAAAUGCAGCACUGACUCACCGUUUGCGAAUUCAACGCGGGCUCCAAUCCUGGGUUGUUCUCACAGCGCCAUCUUGAGUCCAGAGAUAUUUUCUAAGCAAACAAAAUUUCUGUUGGUGUUUCAGCUUCAAGAUCUCUCUGAUACUUCAUCAUAUAUUUCCUUCAUCCAUAAUACUCACUUCUUAGAAGGGGACCAACUAGCCAAAAGGAAACAGCCAUUGCAUAAUGAUGACUGGCAGACUGGGAAUGGGAAUUCCUUCAGAAUUUGAAAUCCAACUUGGUAUAUUUCAACAUACAUCUGGUACUUCCAGCGGGCAAGGAGGCAGGAUGCUGCAGUUGAAGGGGCAUGAAACCUGUAAUCAACAAGACCUGAACUUGAAUUUUAGUUUACCCAAUUACAAGCUACUUAAACUUGGAUUGUCACAUAAACCUUUGAACCUUUCUUUCAUCAUCAGUAAAAUAAAAACAAUAACCUGAAUUUCACAAUGUUCUCAGCAUUAAAUGAGGUGAUAUAGGUGUAGAAGGUCAUAGGAAUGUCAGUUUAUACCAUUUUAGUUACAGCACCUUUUCACCCUUCCAGAAGCAAUAUUCAGUAUGAUGGGGAAGGUAUAUCUUGAUAGAAGCAGAAGCUUAAAUGCCUAUGGUUUGUUUCCUAAUGAUUUCAGAGAAGGGACUAUGUGAAGUGUUUUGUAAAGUUAGCCACCCUAAUCUCCAAUAAUCCUUCAUUUUAUAUAUUGUAUGGUUCUUAUUUCUAAUCCCCUUUUAUAAGCAGCUGGUAUUCCAAUCAUGGAUAUUGCCUCUUGAAUUCUUUUUGACCUGGAAUGAAAAUGUGCAUUAAGGAGAAAAAGUCCAACCAGUAUAUCAUAUUUAUCAUUUACUCUGCUAGGGAGAUAUGGAAUAAUUUUUAUUUUCUCAAUAGAUUCAACUUCUCCAUCUUACUCAUUAUUAUUUUUGUGUAAGUAUAAAGCUGACGUUUAAAUAUAUUCUGCCUCAUAUUGGCUGAAAAUUAUUCUAGGUUUUUCAACCGACUGAAGCCUAGACUUCCUUCUUUGUUUAAUUACAUGCUUAGGUUGUUGCCCCAAAAUGCAUCAAAAUGUGUUGCUGAACCAUAAAUUGUCCUGAGACCAUUGUUGGUGGAGUGAGUUCGGGGGGUGGUUAAG
rnacentral:lncRNA from 13 species